GAUGAAGAACGCAGCGAAACGCGAUAUUUCUUGUGAAUUGCAGAUGUGAAUCAUCAGUUUUUGAACGCACAUUGCACUUUGGGGUAUCCCCCAAAGUAUACUUGUUUGAGCGUUGUUUCUCUCUUGGAAUUGCUUUGCUCUUCUAAAAUUUCGAAUCAAAUUCGUUUGAAAAACAACACUAUUCAACCUCAGAUCAAGUAGGAUUACCCGCUGAACUUAAGCAUAUCAAUAAGCGGAGGA
rnacentral:misc_RNA from 1 species